GACGAACGCUGGCGGCGUGCUUAACACAUGCAAGUCGAACGGAAAGGCCCUGCUUUUGUGGGGUGCUCGAGUGGCGAACGGGUGAGUAACACGUGAGUAACCUGCCCUUGACUUUGGGAUAACUUCAGGAAACUGGGGCUAAUACCGGAUAGGAGCUCCUGCUGCAUGGUGGGGGUUGGAAAGUUUCGGCGGUUGGGGAUGGACUCGCGGCUUAUCAGCUUGUUGGUGGGGUAGUGGCUUACCAAGGCUUUGACGGGUAGCCGGCCGGAGAGGGUGACCGGCCACAUUGGGACUGAGAUACGGCGCAGACUCCUACGGGAGGCAGCAGUGGGGAAUAUUGCACAAUGGGCGGAAGCCUGAUGCAGCAACGCCGCGUGCGGGAUGACGGCCUUCGGGUUGUAAACCGCUUUCGCCUGUGACGAAGCGUGAGUGACGGUAAUGGGUAAAGAAGCACCGGCUAACUACGUG
rnacentral:rRNA from 1 species